AGAGUUUGAUCAUGGCUCAGAUUGAACGCUGGCGGCAUGCCUUACACGUGCAAGUCGAACGGCAACACGGGGGCAACCCUGGUGGCGAGUGGCGAACGGGUGAGUAACACAUCGGAACGUGUCCAGUUGUGGGGGAUAACCCAUCGAAAGGUGGGCUAAUACCGCAUGAUCUGGCAACAGCAAAGCAGGGGACCCGCAAGGGCCUUGCGCGAUUGGAGCGGCCGAUGUCCGAUUAGCUAGUUGGUGGGGUAAAGGCCUACCAAGGCGACGAUCGGUAGCUGGUCUGAGAGGAUGAUCAGCCACACUGGGACUGAGACACGGCCCAGACUCCUACGGGAGGCAGCAGUGGGGAAUUUUGGACAAUGGGGGCAACCCUGAUCCAGCCAUGCCGCGUGAGUGAAGAAGGCCUUCGGGUUGUAAAGCUCUUUCGGUGGGAACGAAACGGUGCUGGCUAACACCCUGCACUACUGACGGUACUCACAGAAGAAGCACCGGCUAACUACGUGCCAGCAGCCGCGGUAAUACGUAGGGUGCGAGCGUUAAUCGGAAUUACUGGGCGUAAAGCGUGCGCAGGCGGUUACUUAAGUCAGGUGUGAAAGCCCUGGGCUUAACCUAGGAAUUGCGCUUGAGACUGGGUAGCUUUGAGUGUGGCAGAGGGAGGUGGAAUUCCCGUGUAGCAGUGAAAUGCGUAGAGAUGUGGAGGGACACCGAUGGCGAAGGCAGCCUCCUGGGCCAGCACUGACGCUCAUGCACGAAAGCGUGGGGAGCAAACAGGAUUAGAUACCCCCGUAGUCC
rnacentral:rRNA from 1 species